GGGUUGUUAGCUCAGUUGGUAGAGCAGCGGACUCUUAAUCCGUAGGUCGAGUGUUCGAGCCACUCACAGCCCACCA
rnacentral:tRNA from 13 species